rnacentral:rRNA from 1 species
UAAUACCUGCAGCUCAAGUGGUGACCGUUAUUAUUGGGCCUAAAACGUUCGUAGCCGGUUUAGUAAAUGCCUGGGUAAAUCGUGUAGCUUAACUAUACGAAUUCCGGGUAGACUGCUAAGCUUGAGACCGGGAGAGGCUAGAGGUACUCCUGGGGUAGAGGUGGAAUUCUGUAAUCCUGGGGGGACCACCAGUGGCGAAGGCGUCUAGCUAGAACGGGUCUGACGGUGAGGAACGAAGCCCUGGGGCGCAAACCGGAUUAGAUACCCGGGUAGUCCAGGGUGUAAACGCUGCUUGCUUGAUGUUAGUCGGGCUCCGAGCCCGAUUAGUGUCGGAGAGAAGUUGUUAAGCAAGCUGCCUGGGAAGUACGGUCGCAAGACUG